AGGCGGCACGCACAGUCGGCGCUUGCAGGUGCAGCACCACCAAGAUUCACAUCGGGUUCUCCAGUCGUAAUUAAUUAACGAGGAGUACAACCAUGAUGAGAAUCUUGAUGAUGCUGCAUCGGCAACCGCUCGACUACUCAUCAUAUCGUCAAU